rnacentral:misc_RNA from 1 species
GACGAACCGUACGAACGUUAUUCGGAAUUACUGGGCUUAAAGGGUGCGUAGGCGGCGCAGAAAGUUGGGUGUGAAAUCCCUCGGCUCAACCGAGGAAUUGCAUUCAAAACUACUGUGCUCGAGGGAGACAGAGGUGAGUGGAACUUCGGGUGGAGCGGUGAAAUGCGUUGAUAUCCGAAGGAACACCGGUGGCGAAAGCGGCUCACUGGGUCUCUUCUGACGCUGAGGCACGAAAGCUAGGGGAGCGAACGGG